CCGUUUACUACGAGACAGUGAAGUGAACACAGCUGUUAGACAGAUUCUUCAGACAGAAGCCAACGCUGCCCGAACACGCUGUCACUGAACACAUCAUGAUGAGGAGGAGGAGGAGGAGUCUCACCAGGAUGAGGAGGAAACAGGAUAUCGCCAACCACGGGGUGUUUGACACCUCUCAGCCUCGACCUUUGACCUGUGAAGAACAUGCUACAUACAUGGAACACGCUAAGAGACCAACAUGAGAACGAGUUGACCAGCUCAGGAGGUCGGAGGUCGGAGGUCGGACUCACUGCCCAUGUUGGUGCUGUGGACGAGCGGUUUGCUCCACGAGCUGCUGCGCUCGUCCUUGUUGGAUCGAACCCCGAACUCGUACGGCGUGUUGGGCUUCAGGUGGUCGACGACCGUGUCGCUGGUCGGGCACGUCUGGUAGUUCCACUUCCUGCUCCGCUCCCGGUACCGGAUGGUGUAGAACCUGCAGGACAGACGGGGUUACUACAGGUCACCUUUUUCCUCUGGUCAUGACCUGACCCCUGACCUGUGACCCCUGAC